UUGAACGCUGGCGGCAGGCCUAACACAUGCAAGUCGAACGGUAACAGGAAGAAGCUUGCUUCUUUGCUGACGAGUGGCGGACGGGUGAGUAAUGUCUGGGAAACUGCCUGAUGGAGGGGGAUAACUACUGGAAACGGUAGCUAAUACCGCAUAACGUCGCAAGACCAAAGAGGGGGACCUUCGGGCCUCUUGCCAUCGGAUGUGCCCAGAUGGGAUUAGCUAGUAGGUGGGGUAACGGCUCACCUAGGCGACGAUCCCUAGCUGGUCUGAGAGGAUGACCAGCCACACUGGAACUGAGACACGGUCCAGACUCCUACGGGAGGCAGCAGUGGGGAAUAUUGCACAAUGGGCGCAAGCCUGAUGCAGCCAUGCCGCGUGUAUGAAGAAGGCCUUCGGGUUGUAAAGUACUUUCAGCGGGGAGGAAGGGAGUAAAGUUAAUACCUUUGCUCAUUGACGUUACCCGCAGAAGAAGCACCGGCUAACUCCGUGCCAGCAGCCGCGGUAAUACGGAGGGUGCAAGCGUUAAUCGGAAUUACUGGGCGUAAAGCGCACGCAGGCGGUUUGUUAAGUCAGAUGUGAAAUCCCCGGGCUCAACCUGGGAACUGCAUCUGAUACUGGCAAGCUUGAGUCUCGUAGAGGGGGGUAGAAUUCCAGGUGUAGCAGUGAAAUGCGUAGAGAUCUGGAGGAAUACCGGUGGCGAAGGCGGCCCCCUGGACGAAGACUGACGCUCAGGUGCGAAAGCGUGGGGAGCAAACAGGAUUAGAUACCCUGGUAGUCCACGCCGUAAACGAUGUCGACUUGGAGGUUGUGCCCUUGAGGCGUGGCUUCCGGAGCUAACGCGUUAAGUCGACCGCCUGGGGAGUACGGCCGCAAGGUUAAAACUCAAAUGAAUUGACGGGGGCCCGCACAAGCGGUGGAGCAUGUGGUUUAAUUCGAUGCAACGCGAAGAACCUUACCUGGUCUUGACAUCCACGGAAGUUUUCAGAGAUGAGAAUGUGCCUUCGGGAACCGUGAGACAGGUGCUGCAUGGCUGUCGUCAGCUCGUGUUGUGAAAUGUUGGGUUAAGUCCCGCAACGAGCGCAACCCUUAUCCUUUGUUGCCAGCGGUCCGGCCGGGAACUCAAAGGAGACUGCCAGUGAUAAACUGGAGGAAGGUGAGGAUGACGUCAAGUCAUCAUGGCCCUUACGACCAGGGCUACACACGUGCUACAAUGGCGCAUACAAAGAGAAGCGACCUCGCGAGAGCAAGCGGACCUCAUAAAGUGCGUCGUAGUCCGGAUUGGAGUCUGCAACUCGACUCCAUGAAGUCGGAAUCGCUAGUAAUCGUGGAUCAGAAUGCCACGGUGAAUACGUUCCCGGGCCUUGUACACACCGCCCGUCACACCAUGGGAGUGGGUUGCAAAAGAAGUAGGUAGCUUAACCUUCGGGAGGGCGCUUACCACUUUGUGAUUCAUGACUGGGGUG
rnacentral:rRNA from 1 species